UCUCUCUCUCUCUCUUUUCUUUUUGGGGUGGGGGUGGGGUUUGAGUCAAGUCAUUUUGGGUUGCAGGAUGCUUCAGAUUACCCUUAUGGUCGCUGUACAUAAAGGAUUUCGGGUCAAUUUGCAGGUUACUGGUUGUUUUUGGUCAAAAUAUUAAUUUUUAUCAGAAAAUUAAUUUUUAUUAAUAUAAUUUUUGAGUCAAAAUUCACGCUAAUUGGGUCAGCACUAACAAUUCAGUUUCAGGUUGGGUUGUUUGAGCCAUUGGGUUGGCCUUUAAUUGAACCCUUGAAUUUGUGGGUCAUUCAGGUUUUCUGUAUGUUAAAACGGGUUACUGGUCGCUUUAGGUCAAACAAGUUUGAAUUGGGUCAAAAUUUGCCUCCUCUAAGCUUGAGCAAUUGAAUCCGAGUAAG
rnacentral:misc_RNA from 1 species